AAUGUCUGUGGCUUUUACUCCAAGAAGACUUGAAAAGAGAAAUAUCCUUUUUUACUUCUGGUUUUCCUAGAAGCCUUUCUUCCCAAGCAUGUCUACAUGAAAAUGAAAAUGCCGACUACAUCUCUUUGAAAAUAUGGCCAUGUAACAGUGGUAGUAAGUCUGAAUUCUCUUCUGGUAAAUGAGCAGAGCUGCUUGAGCCCAUAGAUCUCUUCAAUGACUGGAUGGAACAGAGAAGGAGAACUUUGUCAAAGAUCAAUUAUUUCUUAAUUGAUCUAUCACUGGAAGAACAUUCUUUAAGGAAAGAAACAGCAGUGUAAUCACAUCCAGAAAUGCUUCAGAGAGCUGGCAUGGACUGUGCUGUCAUUCUACCAAACAAAUGAGGAGCUGAAGAAACAGACU